GGACGAACGCUGGCGGCGUGCUUAACACAUGCAAGUCGAACGAAAAUACCAAGCUUGCUUGGUUGAUUAGUGGCGAACGGGUGAGUAACACGUGAGUAACCUGCCCCUUACUUUCUGGAUAACUGCUCGAAAGGGUAGCUAAUACGGGAUAUUCUGGCCUUCCUGCAUGGGUUGGUUUGGAAAGGUUUUUUUCUGGUGAGGGAUGGGCUCGCGGCCUAUCAGCUUGUUGGUGGGGUGAUGGCCUACCAAGGCUUUGACGGGUAGCCGGCCUGAGAGGGUGGACGGUCACACUGGGACUGAGAUACGGCCCAGACUCCUACGGGAGGCAGCAGUGGGGAAUAUUGCACAAUGGGCGCAAGCCUGAUGCAGCGACGCCGCGUGAGGGAUGAAGGCCUUCGGGUUGUAAACCUCUUUCGUCAGGGAACAAGGCACUGCUUUUGGUGGUGUUGAGGGUACCUGGAUAAGAAGCGCCGGCUAACUACGU
rnacentral:rRNA from 1 species